rnacentral:rRNA from 1 species
AUGCGUAUGUCAGUGCGCUGGGUUGUUUUGAGUCAAGAAGAAUUUAAAGGCAGUCGUCGUGCUUCAAUCAACUUCCACACUAACAAUGCAUGGGAACGGUGCUCCAAUCUCCUUGGGAAUUGCAUAAGGAUACUUCCAGUGCAGCUCUCAUGCUCGUGGUUUUUGAAACAGGACAAAAAUGAUUCAGAUUUCAGUGGCCAUGACAAGCUCCUUCACAACAAGCAGCGAUUGGGUGCUCUAAGUACAACACUUCCGAAUAGUGUCUGUCUGCAGUUCGUGCAAUUUUGGCCAUUAUUGUAUUUUGCUCCAGCUGGUAUCACGAUGCAAUGGCAGUGGGACGAGCAUCAAUGGUGGGACAAAAAUUCACAACAUAUUUUUAUGUUGCCUCGUUCCCUUUCUGAACAAAUAUUAAGUAAGGUCAAUCAUGGCUGGUAUGUCGACACUCUCAAACUAUUUGCGAUUCAGGCUAUACAAUUUGCAGCAGAGAUUCAUUAUCAACUAUCUAGCGCCAAUGGUUGUCUGACGAGUGAACUUCCAAUACGGCAUGUGUCAUAUGAGCUUCUACUAUUCCUGACCUGUCCGCUGGACAUUUCCAACACGCAGCUUGAUGCCUACAACAAUAUGUGCUUCCUGUUUUGGCUUUGUUCAGUUUCUCAACUCACCUGUAACAUUUGUAUGAUGAAAUCUGACUUGGGCCUGUACCAGCGGGGCUGUUCUUGGGAUCCUGGAGGACUGGCAUUGCGGUUGUCAAUGGAAUUGGCUCACCGAGUGGUCUUCUCAGGAGCGGUGUGUGUCAUCAUCUUGGUGGUCCACUACCUCAUCCACGCCAGCGAUAUUUCACUUCAUCAACUGCCUGGAUUCCAAUCGACUCAAGGUACAACAAGUUUCACGAGAUCAUGGUGGUGUGAGUCUUUCAAGUCUUAUACAACAACGUUGGCCGUGAGGGACCUAGUGCCUUCUACCUCCUACAAUCAAGGGCAUUUUCAAGAAGGGAGGGGUACCAUCACCAUUGCUGUCGUCUUCGCGCAAGGCUCUGUCGACCAUGAGUACUACUUUCUCAGCUUCGACCAUGACUGUGCUGAAACUGACUACUUCCUGGACACCUUCUUCAGCGGGGCUCCCAUCGACCGCAACUGUUGUUCCUACUUUGUUGAAGUCCACUCUGGCUUCGAUCAUGACGACAACCAAGUCAAGCAUCAUCAAGUGCAAAUGGGAUCCAGGCGGGUCUAG